GAAAGACAAAUACUAUAUGAUUUCACUUAUACGUGGAAUUUAAAAAACAAAACAAACGGCAGAAACAGAUCCAUAAGUACAGAAAACAAACUGAAGGCCGACAGAGGGAAGAGGAUGAGGGCAUGGACCAAACGGGGAAGCAGGAGUGGGAGGGAAUGAAUAAGCCACAGAGUAAAAGGUGCGGCACAGGGGUAUAGUCAAUGGUACUGUAAUAUAGCACAGGAACAGGUGGUAGCUACACUUGUGCUGAGCGUAGCUUAACACAGAGAUUUGGUGAACCACUGUGGUGUACACUGAAACUAAUGUAACAUUGUGUGUCAACUAUACUUCAAUAAAACACAAUUUAAAAGUUGAAAAAAAAAGUUAAAAAAUAGGUGCUGGGACCCAGCAUCCACACAGUAGUGGGUACCUUUACAGAAGAGGUCCGAGUGGGGCUCGAACAGUCACCUUUGGCUUUUGCACCCAACCAGAUGAUUUGCCUUCAGGCUCUGAGCCUUCAAAGCACUUCACUUGAUUUUCUUUUAAGAUUUCCUUUUUAAGUAAUCUCUACACCCAACGUGGGGCUCAAACCCACAAACCUGAGAUCAAAAGCCGCAAGCUCCACUGACUGAGCCAGCCAGGGGCACCACACUUCACUUGAUCAGAUAUUGGUCCAGGCUCUUGAGUCAAGAAAGCUUACUUAUAAGUAAGCUCUGACUAAAGAUGAUAUCCUGGUUUGUUCAAGAAAUUCACCUUUCAAAAAGAUAUGAAGAAACUGUAUCACAAAGAUUGUUACUUCGACAAAUGGAGAAUUAAUUUGUAGAUGAAAACAAGGAAAAGUCUUCUCAGAUGCAAACAGCUGAGACUGCUUUUAAAAGGAACCUUAGUCUUUUAAAGGAUAUAGAAGGGGCAGAGAAGUAUUUACAGAUGCAGAUUUACCCAAUUCCACCACCAGAGGUAGUUUCUCUUGAGAUUCUUCACUGGGCAUCAAAAGAGUGUAUUCUCAAAUGGGAACAGUUUCUUUUAGGAAGAGCACCAUAUCCUACUGGUGUUGAAAACGAAGCAGAAAGUACCAUUCAAAAUGAGGCGCAGUGAUAACUUCACACACACUUUCAAAAAACCUGUUUAGUACAGCUGAAGAUUAAAGAACAUGCAGGUCGUUUCAGGAACUUUAAGAAUAAACUAUGCUCAUACUGUCCCAUUACCUCCUCAAUGACAAUGAAGAUAUGAGAAUCUACUGACAAGUCUCAGGUUAUCACUUCGAGACCUACUACUACUUCAUGGUCAUGAAUUUGCUUUCUUCCAAACCCAUGGAAGUGUUAAGAGCUAACACUGAAAGGUGAACUGUUACUAAGUAAGUCACUAAAUGAAAAAACUAUGAUAAAAAAUAAGUUUUCCUACAAAAAAAUAAGUUUUUCUACAAAAAGAAGCUAUAGGACAAUGGGGGACAGGCAGAGGAUCGAGGGAGAUCUUUAAGAAUUAUGAUAAACUAGCAAGAUAUACUAGAAACAGAAUGGGCUCUGGUGUAAGAGAAAUAGUCUGAUUCAGUGCCACUAUCCAUAAGCUAAGCAAGUUAUGGAGCCCCCUGAGCCUCCAUUUCCUUCAUCUGUAAAGUAUCUGUAGGAUUGGUAAAAGGAUCAGAGAUACAUAUAGUACCUGAAAUUGAAAGAGGGUAAUAAAUAAUUCCUGAAAUUGAAAGAGGGUAGUAAGUCAUUGGUAGCCAUUUAUCAUCAAUAGUAACUUUAAAAAACUUCUCCCAACAGUGAAGCUUCUUGAAAGACACACGUUCCACAACAAGAAUAGAUCAUGCUUACAUAAUGAAGGAGAAAAGCCAGUGGAGAAUGGAGACUGAAGGCCCGAGAAAGGGAAAGUCCUCUAGGAGGCGGGAUGGGAUGGGGCUAGAAUACAGGUUUUAGACAGGAAGAGGGAUGUCCCUUCCGUGAAAUGGAGUAAUAGGGUGAAGCUGGGUAAAAUGAAGACAGAUCUGUAAAGGAGGAAGUGGCAAGCUGAGGAAGCUCACUCUGGAGAGCCAUAAAUUCAUCUGCGAAGGAGAGGAGAUUACUUGCUUUGCUUUGCUGGGGAGAGGAAGGCAGACAGGCACAGUGAGAUGGUAAACACAUAUAAUAGAAGCAGAGGGGCUGCACAGCAUAGCGACUCAGAGCAUGAACUCUGGAACCAGGCUGUUGUCUGGGUCUGAAUUCUGGUUCGGCCACUUACUAGUAUGACCAAGGGCAAAUGAGUUCUCUUAAGCUUCAAUUUUCACACCUUAUGAUGGUAAUUUCACAUACCUCAUGGGCUUAUUAUGAGAAUGAAGUAAUAAGUUGAUACAUGUAAAAGGUUUAGAACCAGAAUGAUUAUAUAACUCACUGUCCAAACUGGACCCUUUGAAAGUGAAAGGGGGCUCUAUUAAAACCCAGAAACAGGUGUUCUACUGGGACUAUUUCAGACAAAUUGGGACUGUAGUUACCCUAUCACCAAGAGGAACUGCCCAUACUUAACCAACUCUUAUUUAGCAUCUAGUAUUUUGCUACAAGAUAAGCUCCACGAGGGUAGGGGUUUUUCCAUAUUUAUUGUUCCUGUUGUAUCCUUAGAGCUUAGAACAAUGCCUGGCACAGCAAAGGAGUUUAAGAAGUAUUUCUUGAAGGAAUAAAUUUGCCAAAUAUCUAUUGUAGGGGACAGGAGACAGUUGGUCAAUGACACAGAAGACUGCCAGAUGGCACUGAAAAUCCUGUGUAAGGAAAUGAAAUUUGCAUCUUUAUCAAUCCACUCACUGUGCAAUUGUUGCCUGCAGUGUUCAGCAUCUGAGGCAACAGAACAGACUAAUUUCAGGUUGGGAGAAUGAAAAUAGAAAAAAAUCAAAGGUUAUUUGAUUUUAAAAAGUUUUUAAGUAAUCUCUACAUCUAAUGUGGGGCUCGACUCAUGACCCUGAGAUCAAGAGUCACAGGUUCCGCUGACUGAGCUAGCCAGGUACACCUCAAAGGUCAUUUCUGAAUGGGACUUUUCCUCAUUUAGUCUCCUUACCAUAUAUAGCAAAAUAUAUUUUCUUGGUCCAAUUAUACUGUUACAAUAACAUCUCUGCUUUUUGAAGUCUGUCUAUAUAAUAAAUUUUAUGGUGCUGUGCUAAUGUAUCACUGAGGCACUGUAUUUGUCAUAUUUCAUGGCCUUUGAUUUUCUAAAUGGCGGAAGAAAACAGAUAAUAUGAAUUCUUGCAUUUGUUCCUACUUUGGGUGCUGAUUCUUGGAUGUCACGAUCGUCUGCCACAAUACAGUUAUUUCAAACAGGUAUUGAGAUAUUAACACUCAAAGAUACCUGUAGUUGAAUUCAAACCCAGACUUCCUCAUACAAACUCUAUGGCAGCAAUGCUCCUGUACUCUCUGUGCACUUCACAAUCUUUCAUUCCGAUCGUAUAAACUAAGAUUCCUAAGCACUUUUCAGAAAAUGAUAAAAGUCAUAGAUGAAAGUUUUUGCUUUUGUUUGCCUUAAAACUGUCUAUUUAAGCCAAUAUCCUAGGAAAUAAGGUCAAAGCUAACAAAAAGACUGAAAUACAAAGAUAACCCAGAGUAAGUAUGAAAUAACAGAAUUUCGGUACAUCUUAGUGUGUGACACAAACACCUUUUUACAAAAAAAGACUACAUAAUACUUCAGAAACUAAUAAAAUGUAGUAGCUAGGGUAAUGUCUAUGUGAGACAUGAAGAAUUAUUUCAUCACUUGUUCCAACACCUUCUAUUUUAAAAAUAAUUUCACAGUUAUAGGUAGAAUUCACACUGACUAGUCAAUUAUGAAAAACAGUUUUAUAACAAAAAGGAAACCGCUUAUUCUUCAAGGAAAGAAAAUGGGUUUAACAUGGACAGAACUUCAGUAACUUCGAAUUUAAACUGGUAAAAUCUGAAAAGGAUCAGGUUAACCUAUGAAAGAUGACAAAUGUCAAGUAUAACUAAGCUAGUAACCACUCAACUCUCUAUAUAUCCAACUUAGGAUUUUAAAAUUAACAUCUGCCAUAAACACCUUUUAUUAUGGGCAGACAUAAACCAAUACAGAAAGCAGGCUCUGAUAUUGGAGUAAAUUAUAGAAGGUAGUGGAUCUAUUACUGUUUGCUGAAUUAGGAAACUUGCACUGCAAGAGAAAUGCACAGGUAAUCUUCAAAUGAAAACACCAGUGAAGAAACACAAAAUGGUUGCAAAAAUGACACAGAAAUAGUAACUUUAGCUCAGUACACUGAAAGAUCACUUUCCCCUAAGUAUAAAAGGUACUCACAAUAAAAGGCAAUUGAAAUAAUCAAUAACAAUAAAGAACUGCCAUCUACCUACUUAUCCCCAGAGUUUGUUUUUUUUAAAGUAGAUCCCACUUAAAAAAAGGAAAAGGAUGAUGAUCACAUGUUAGUGAUAUUCUUGGUAGGCAGAUCCUUAACAGUUGUUCUUUCAUUUUACAUAUGGGUAUUAUCUAGGUAAGUACUUCAGAUUUCCAGUUGGAGAAAUAAGGUUUUAAACUGUUUAAAUCAGAAAUUGGCAAAUUUUUUUCUAUGAGAGACCAGAAGUCAAAUAUUUAAAGCUUUGCAGGUUAUAGAGUCUAUGUUAUAACUACUCAACUCUGCCAUUGCAGCACAAAAAGGAGACACAGACAAUAUAUAAACACAUGGACAUAGCUUUGUUCCAAUAAAGGUUUAUUUACAAAAACAGUGGGCCAUAGUUUGCCAACCUUGGAUGUAAAUCUUCAUAAUCCUGGAAAGUGAUCAUUAAUUAAAUCUUUUUGGAAAGACAAUUCAUUACAUUGAAAUAACAGACCCUUUUGAAAUUAUGUCCUUGAAUUAUUCUUUUCUUCCUUCCCUC